UGUGACAGAAUCGUGUGGCUUUUACUCGUUGUGGUGACAUCACUCCGCACUCUCACAAAACCGAUCCAGAAAUAAGCCAAGUUCACGGCACCUCUCUCUCAUUAUUUUCAUCUUUCCCUUCCAAAUAACCUGGCCCACUUCAAUUGAGCUCUAGCGGGCGCCACUUCCUAUACCGAUGGCCUCCAUCACCACCACCACCAAAAAGGAAGCUCAGGCUCUACUUCUUGGUCGCUUUGAGGUGGGCAAGCUCCUCGGCCACGGCACCUUCGCCAAGGUCUACCAUGCCCGCAACGUCAACACCCAAGAGAGCGUCGCCAUCAAGGUCAUCGAUAAGGAGAAGAUCCUCAAGGUCGGCCUCACCGCCCACAUCAAGCGAGAGAUUUCAAUCCUCCGCCGCGUGCGCCACCCCAACAUCGUCCGUCUCUUCGAGGUCAUGGCCACCAAAUCCAAGAUCUACUUCGUCAUGGAGUUUGUCCGCGGCGGCGAGCUCUUCAACAAGGUAUCCAAGGGUCGUCUCAAGGAGGACGUCGCCCGCAAGUACUUCCAGCAAUUGAUCUCCGCCGUCUCCUUCUGCCACUCCCGUGGCGUCUUCCAUCGAGACCUCAAGCCCGAGAACCUCUUGCUCGACGAUAACGGCGAUCUCAAGGUCUCCGAUUUCGGUCUCAGCACAGUGUCCGAUCAGAUUCGCCAGGACGGUCUGUUCCACACGUUUUGUGGCACGCCUGCCUAUGUUGCCCCGGAGGUUUUGGGCGGAAAGGGUUACGAAGCCUCCAAAGUGGAUAUCUGGUCCUGUGGGGUUGUGCUCUUCGUUUUGAUGGCCGGCUAUUUGCCCUUUCACGACCAAAACAUUAUGGCCAUGUACAAGAAGAUUUACAAGGGCGAAUUUCGAUGCCCGAGAUGGUUCUCUCCGUCGCUGACUCGGCUCCUAACCCGUCUUCUGGAUACGAACCCGGAGACUCGGAUUACAAUCCCGGAUAUCAUGGAGAAUAAGUGGUUCAAAAAAGGGUUUAAGCACAUCAAAUUCUAUAUCGAGGAUGACAAGCUUUGUAAUGUCGUGGAUGAGGAGGAGAAGCAGGGAAAGGAGGACGACGAAAAUUCGGGCUCGGACCAAUCAGAAUCGGACUCGGAAUCCGGGUUCCAGGCGAGGAGGAGGGUGGGUACAUUGGCGAGACCGGCGAGCUUGAACGCGUUCGAUAUCAUAUCGUUCUCGCGCGGGUUCGAUCUCUCUGGGUUGUUCGAGGAGGGAGGUGAGGAGGCCAGGUUCGUAUCGGGCGCACCGGUAUCGAAGAUUAUAUCGAAACUGGAGGAGAUCGCGACACUGGUCAGCUUCACGGUAAGGAAGAAGGAUUGCGGGGUGAGCUUGGAGGGGUCGACCGGGGGCGUGAAGGGACCACUAACCAUUGGCGCUGAGAUUUUCGAGUUGACUCCGUCGUUGGUUGUAGUGGAGGUGAGGAAGAAAGGAGGAGAUAGAGGAGAAUACGAGGAGUUCUAUAAUAGGGAAUUGAAACCCGGUUUGCAGAAUUUGAUGCUGGAGGAAGCUGCCUCUUCCCUUACAUCGACUUCACUUCCACUACCUUCAUUUCUCCCUUCGGAUACUGAAUAGAGGAAUCGAGAGAAGUGAGGGAGAAGGGAAGAUUACUUUCCACCUUCCUAUAGUUGUGGAGUUAUGCAACCAAGUUGCGAUCGAUUCCUCUGAUUUCUUUAGUCGUGCAACAUUAAUUGCGAUGCAAUCUAAUGUGGUUACUUCGGGUUUCCUUCUGAAGGAAUGAAAGAAGGAAUCACUUUAAUAUGGUGAUAUGUUGGUGAUCAGGAUGGACACUUCUGAGCAAAUGAAAGAGGAAAUAUCACCUAAAUUUGGUGAUAUUUCCAAAUAUUGCACAUUGUUCAAUCAAAUGCAUGCAGAGCCAGAAACCCUUUGAAUCUGAUAAUAGCAUAUUGUUUGCAUAUUAACCGUCUUGGUCCGAGUCUGGCUGGGUCUCUCAGGCUACAUUGCUUUUGUUCAAUGGAGAUUGAAGGGAUGCAUUUUCGAUUUUGAGUCAUUGAGACGUUGGAUCAAGAAACGGGCGUGGAAAUAUCAAGGAUUGUUGACAGGGGUAGACCCACAUGCAUAAAAAAAUCAGCUCCCCUAGGAAUAGUCGUGAAUGGUAGUCGGCGUGCAGAUGCAAGUGUCACGUCAAUGUUAAUCAAAAAUAAAAAAAAAAAAGAAAAAAAAAAAGAAGAAAAUUAAAGGAGAAGCCUCGCAGGCGCAUUUUCGAUGAAAAAACUCAA